UGGUCGAUGCCCGAGCGGUUAAUGGGGAUGGACUGUAAAUUCGUUGACAACAUGUCUUUGCUGGUCAAAUCCAUCUUGGCCCA
rnacentral:tRNA from 1 species